AUUAUUUCUUAUUCAGAGUAAAAUUUUGCCUCCUACCUCUAGAACUACACAGAGUAAACCUUAUACCUCUCCUAUGUGAACGUCUUUCUGAUUUUUAAGAAUAACCACCCUAAUAUCCUGAGUCAACUCAGCUGAAGGAUAUGAUUCUUCAUGCAUAACGGCUCUACAGUCUCUUCAGCUUCACCGUUUUUAGAUGCAUUUCCAUUUCCUAAAGUUUCACCUGACUCAUGAUGUCCAGAAGUGACCAUGAUACUUCAAAUGCGGAGAGCUCAAACAUAUCGAAGUCCCACUAGGUCGUGGGUACUGGACCACACCAAUGCACAAAACAAAACUAGUUCCUGCCCUCAGGAGUCUAUGGAUCAUUGACCCUAUCAUCAUGAUCAUUAUUGUUGCGUCAUCCUUACUUUGGAGAGUAUGCUAUAUCUACCUUUGAAGAUUCCCACAGUAAACUUGUCAGAGUCAGUCUUGAAGGAUCAUUGGUUUGUUCCAGAUCAUAGUUUUUGUCUUUUGGUGACAAUACAUUUGUGAAAGGUUUAUGACUUUCUUAACAGACACAGUACUGGCUGGAUCCAAUUUUAAAUAAACCAGGUAGAAUGAUGGAAACAAGUAGUAAUGCCCUUUUCCUCCAUGCAACAUUUACUCUAUUCGGCAUAUGAGCUCAAGAUGACUGCUAAGCCCGCAGAACUUAUUUUUAAUUCAUUUUUAAAUAAAAAUGUUAUCAUAUGAGUAAAGCAGUGAGCCAUAUUUAACUUAUGAAGCCAUACAUUUAAGGAAUAUAUUCGAUUUGGAAAAUUACCCACAUAGCCUUGAAAUAAUCUCAAUACCAUGUUUGCACUUUUUUUUUUUUUAAAGAUUUUAUUUAUUUAUUUGACAGAGAGAAAUCACAAGUAGAUGGA